rnacentral:pre_miRNA from 1 species
CCAACAACCUUCGGACCGUCGGUCUACCGAGCAAAUAUGACCAGCUCGGUGGAAGAUCUUCCCUUUGUCGUAUAUC